rnacentral:rRNA from 1 species
UGGGGAAUUUUGGACAAUGGGGGAAACCAUGAUCCAGCCAUCCCGCGUGUGCGAUGAAGGCCUUCUGGUUGUAAAGCACUUUUGGCAGGAAAGAAACGUCAUGGGCUAAUACUCCGUGAAACUGACGGUACCUGCAGAAUAAGCACCGGCUAACUACGUGCCAGCAGCCGCGGUAAUACGUAGGGUGCAAGCGUUAAUCGGAAUUACUGGGCGUAAAGCGUGCGCAGGCGGUUCGGAAAGAAAGAUGUGAAAUCCCAGAGCUCAACUUUGGAACUGCAUUUUUAACUACCGGGCUAGAGUGUGUCAGAGGGAGGUGGAAUUCCGCGUGUAGCAGUGAAAUGCGUAGAUAUGCGGAGGAACACCGAUGGCGAAGGCAGCCUCCUGGGAUAACACUGACGCUCAUGCACGAAAGCGUGGGGAGCAAACAGG